UAACAAACCGAGAUUUAUUUAUUAACUAUAACAUAAUAAUAUAAUUUUUAUUAACUAGUUCAAGUAAAAAAAAAAAAAUUUACAUAACGAAACUAAAAUUUUAUUUAUGACAUAUUAUUUUUCAUUUAACAAGACAUAAACAUAAGUAGAAACAUAUCUUGCUUUAUAGAGAAUACUUCUUAUUAAAGGUACUACCCAAACUACAUAUUAGUAUCCAUAAUUAAUAAACAAAAACCAACCCUUAUUUCACAAAUACAUUACAGUUUGAAGCUUAGCCACUUCCAUUGUCACCACUGCCACUGCCAAAUUGAUUCCUUGGAAUAUAAUGAUGACCGUUUUCUCUCUCGUUAUCGGAAUGCUUGUCAACUUCAUCUAGUAAUUUUCUCUCGUGAUGGCUGUCGAUGGAUGUCUCUGGUUCAUCCUGUAAUAAAGCUCUCCUUCCGGCCAAACAAGAUCCCACCAUGAUCAUCAAGGUUAGAGCAACCACUGCAACCCUCAUAUUCUUGAAUAUUCGAGUGAUCGAUCUUUCUCGUUUUUUCUAUCUGUCACAAAAAGAAAAAACAAAAAAAAUCAAAUCGUGGUUGCUAUAUAACUAAAGAAUUAUUGAUUUGGUGAUAUAAAAAUUUAUGCAUGUCUAAAUCUUACCAAAUAGAAGUAUGAAGUGAAGAUCUAGUUGAACCCGUUUAUAUAGAGGGGCUAAAGCUAGGGGUUAUC
rnacentral:lncRNA from 1 species